GUAGCUGCCUUGCUGGGAUUUGGCCCACAUAAGUCUGAACUCAUACUUUGGUUUUGGUUUUCUUUAUUGUAGCUGACUGGGAGGCUAACAGGCCAUCACAGAGCCCUCCGAGGCAGACUCAUUUCAGGUGCAGCGUGGAUUCCCCUCACCAAUCAUCCAAAAGAUAAGUCGGGGGCCAUGGCCUGGCGAUGGGAGUGUAGCAGGUUGGGAGUUCUUGGGGCAGAGUUAAAAACCAGCAGAGGGAAAAGCAUUCUUCUCCAAGGGCCUGUUAGGACAGCUAAAGGGAGAGGCUCUUCUUUUGAUGGCAGCUUUCAGGCGGGCAGUGCAGAACAGCUCCGGUCUGUGUCCUGUUGUCUGGUGUGCUGUGUUCCCUAGUGUGUCUUUGGGGUCCCUUUUGCCCUCUUCCCUCGAUGCCCUCACCACAAGCAUGAUGUGUUGUGUUUGGUGUCCCCCUGUUUGUCACGUUCUGUGUCACGGGUGUCUGCAGGUAUUUGUGCCGGAGCUGUUCUGCCCUGCUGCAUGGCGUGCUUCAGUAGGACAAACCCUGGGGAGUUGAAAUUUGUAAUGUGGGCUGUACUUGGGCUCUAGGUGCUAUUCCUAGGUUUACAUAAGGUGUUUCCAGCUUGAAAGUUAAAGUUAUUGUGGAGGUGUGUGACAUAUGUUCUAACUUUCUUUCAGGUGUGGAUGCAUUGCAUCCAUGGCAGAGGGUCAGGGUUAGGAGGUGCUGGGCAUUCCUAGGAGCAUAGUGAGUAGCAGAGUGGUGGGGUUUUGGCCGAUGCGGUGCCAAGGUCAGGCACUGAUGUUUGGUUCUCUUUAAUCUAGCUGUCUGAGGGACACCAGCCCGGUGCCAGCAGGACCUUCCCAGGUGACGAGGUGGCCUUUCUUUGCACCUGACACAGGCAUCCCCUGAUGUCUGAGAGAUAAGCAGAGGGCUGCAACCCUCAGAGGGGAUGAACGUGGGGUGCUUUUUCAGGACUCCCUGAGGUGGGGGUCUGAGUUGGCUCUGGCAAUGAGGUUAGCCAAGAUGUUGCCCCUUAGGCCCCAUAAAAGCAAAGUCUCCCUUUUGGUCACAGUGCUGAGGUGCGCAGCAUGGCAGAGCAGUCCCGGUGUGUCUCGUGUCACUUGUCUUUUGUGUAUUGUGUGUUGCCUGGAUAUCUCAUGUCUCUUAUCUUAGCCCUGUGAGGGGCCUCUCAGAAACCUUUCCUAGCAUCCGUGAUCUCAGCGUUCCUCGCCCUGGCACCCAUGCCAUAGAUCUUUUGACUUGGGAGCUCACACAGGCAGCAGAAAUGCAUCUCUCUUUAGAAGCGUCCAGUCAGAUGUCUUGUCAUGUCUUGUUCUGAGCUGUACGGACAACCGUGCUGCGCAAUGAUCCAUUAUAGCAGAGUAGGACUUGUAAGGAUGUGAGGUUAGGGAGAGGAUUCUGACUGUAGGAUUCUCGGGCAUCCAUCUUUGCAGUUUUUGGAAUAAAUCAUUCUGUUUGCAUCUUCUUCCUCCAGGGUUCUCUGAGCCUCAUCAGCUCGCCAUCAGCUUCAACUCUUCUUCUUUUGCAUUCUCUCAGUCCUUGCAGCCAUUUUCCUUGCUAAGAGAUUUCCGUUCCUGUUGUGUCCCCAGUGUUUGUCACGUCUUGUCUGUCCUGUGUCACGGGUGUCUGCACACAUUUGUGCUGGAGCUGCUGUUCUGCCCUGCUGCAUAUCCUGGUGCAAUAUGAGAAGUCUCAGGGACUUGGAAUUUGUAAUGUGUAGUUGGAUUCUAGAUGGGAUUUGUAGAUGGACACAGGAUACGUGGAGCCCAUAAGUUAUCCUGCAGCCCUUUCACUUUCAUCCUAACUUUCUUUUAGUUGCAGAAGGAUAAAUCCAGGGCAGAGCCCCCCAUUCUGGGUGAGGGGAUUCCCCUGUGAAGGUCAGUCACUGUUUGUCUCUGCAGAGGAAGCAUAAAUUGUGGCUGCUGCAGCUCUGCUCUUUGUCUUUAUUUUUAGGAAGUCAAGGCAGAGAGCAGCUGUCAAGGCUGAGUGGGCAAGAUGGACUGCUUGCCAUCUAUCCUAGCCCAGCAUGCCCAUGCCAGGUGCUGUCGCUGCCCUAGGCAUGCCGGGGAAGAGAGGAGGGCAGGUAUCUUCCGGGCGGCCUCUGGAGUCAAAUCAAGACUUGAGGUACCCUGGGCAGGCUUGUAGCCACAGCUUGGAAGCGGCAGCACCGAAGCGCACACAUUGAGAACGUCUCAACGUCCACGUCCGACCGAGGAUGGAUUUUGUCUGCUUGUCUUCCAAAAGCUAAGUGUCGGGGCCAGUGGUUGGGAGAAGGGGAAAAGCCUUUACUAUCACAGGAGGCAAUCUGAUGUCAGCUUAGCAGAGAGGUCUGUAGUGGGACAGGCUCCCUGGAAGUAAAGGGAGAGGGUUUCUCCUCAGCCUCACCAGAGCCUUUGCCGGGCAGGGCAAUUCCUACCCAUCUCCACAUUCUCGUGAACUUUGUGUCAUCAGCCUUCUUCGACUUGACGUCGUCACGGCUCUUUCCCCCGUGGAGCUCGCCUUCAGGUCCGGAGCUGUAGCUGCAGUCACCUGGCAGUCCGCUUCCUUCUCUAGGCUUGCUGAGCCUCUCGAGCAUCCUCCUAACUGCUUUGGCCCUAACUUCCUUUAAUGAGUUGCAUUUCAUCAUCACGUGCUGUUGUCAUAGGGCUUCCUUUCCCUUGGCCUCAUUGGCCUCUGGCUCGUCUUGUGCUAGGACUCUCGGGUCCCUAAAGGGAAAGUGCCAAGCAGUUGCAACUUGUCUCUGUGUUAUGUCAUCUGUGUCUAUGUUAUGGUGUGUGUGUCCAUUGUCUUCCACGGCAUAGGCCUUUGUUACAUCUCAAUGCUUUAUCGGCUCUCUUCUGUGCCAUGUUCUACUCACAUUCCUUGCCGGAUAUCCCUUAUUCCAGCAUCUUUACAUUUUUACUCUUUGAGACAGGAAUGUCUCACAGGGACAAGAUGUUCUCAUCCAUCUUCCUUCUCACUAUCAGCUUUGGUAGUGCUUUUUUUUCUUGGACUUCUAGAGGGAGCAUCUUACACCCUCCUCACGUGACUGCAGUAGUUCUAUAGGUUCCAUCUUCUCAAAGGGUACAGGGCUCAAUAAGUAAUCUUCCAGAGAGUUUUCUUAAGUCGUGGUUUAUAUUGUAUGUUCCUAUGUUGGCUUAUAUUGUAUGUACUUACAUACAGUAUAAGUACGUACAGUAUAAGCCAGCAUAGGUACAUGCAAUGUAAGUGCAUUGCCUUAUAUUGUCUGUACUUACACUGCAUGUAAGCAUGUCGCCUUAUAUUGUGUGUACUUACACUCUGUGUACACUUGCACUGUAUGCGUCAGCUUACAUUGUGUGUAGACUGUACCACUUAUGAUCGGAGCUGCCCUGCCCUGGCACAUAGUCACAGUUAGGUAGAACAGUUAUAACAACUUUACUGUUCAUCUGUCUUUUGUGGGAUUUUGGGUAGAAAAUUCAUCAGUCCAGAGUGGGGACAAGUCCUAGCUGUCAGAUAGCCACUUGUUGACCCUUCCUGUUGUCUCACAGGUCCCCGAGGCUGCUGAUUUCCCCAGGAUCUGCCAUUUACCUCAAGGAGCGGCAGCCAGAAGAUGUGUCAAAGCACCUUCUUCAGCAUCUCAGGGAAGGGCCACAGUGAGCGUGUUUUGCAACUCAUUGUUAAAUUGAGAAUAAAAAAUCCCCAGCUGCCUUCCA